AUUGAACGCUGGCGGCAUGCCUUACACAUGCAAGUCGAACGGUAACAGGUCUUCGGAUGCUGACGAGUGGCGAACGGGUGAGUAAUACUUCGGAACGUGCCCAGACGUGGGGGAUAACGAGGCGAAAGCUUUGCUAAUACCGCAUACGAUCUAAGGAUGAAAGCAGGGGACCGCAAGGCCUUGUGCGUUUGGAGCGGCCGAUGGCAGAUUAGGUAGUUGGUGGGAUAAAAGCUUACCAAGCCGACGAUCUGUAGCUGGUCUGAGAGGACGACCAGCCACACUGGGACUGAGACACGGCCCAGACUCCUACGGGAGGCAGCAGUGGGGAAUUUUGGACAAUGGGCGAAAGCCUGAUCCAGCAAUGCCGCGUGCAGGAUGAAGGCCUUCGGGUUGUAAACUGCUUUUGUACGGAACGAAAAGGCUCUGGCUAAUACCUGGGGCACAUGACGGUACCGUAAGAAUAAGCACCGGCUAACUACGUG
rnacentral:rRNA from 1 species